GGCUCCUUGUAUAAUACAAAUAAGGAGUCGGACCUGCCCAGUGAAUUUUUCAACGGCCGCGGUACUCUGACCGUGCAAAGGUAGCAUAAUCAUUUGCCUUAUAAUUGAAGGCUAGUAUGAAUGGUUUGACAAGAAUAUAACUGUCUCUUUAUAAUUAAGUAGAAUUUUAUUUACAGGUGAAGAAGCCUGUAUAAUAUUGAAAGACAAGAAGACCCUAUCGAGCUUAAAAAAAAUUAAUAAAUUUUAAAUAUUUAAUAUAGAUUAAAAAAUUAAUUAUUAAAAACUUUGGUUGGGGCGACUGAGGAACAAAUAAAGCUUCCUUUACUACAUAAAACAAUCAAGUAUUGACCCAAAACUUUUGAUUAAAGGAGAUAGUUACCGUAGGGAUAACAGCAUUAUCUUUUUUGAAAGUUCCAAUUGAAAAAAAGGUUUGUGACCUCGAUGUUGGACCAGAAUAUCCCGAAGAUGCAGCUGUCUUCAAAGGUUGGUCUGUUCGACCAUUAAAAUUCU
rnacentral:rRNA from 1 species